UACAGGGGGUGCAAACGUUGCUCGGAAUCAUUGGGCGUAAAGCGCACGUAGGCGGUUCGUUAUGUCGGAUGUGAAAGCCCUUGGCUUAACCGAGGAAGUGCACCCGAAACUGGCGAGCUUGAGUACGAAAGAGGAUCGCGGAAUUCCCGGUGUAGAGGUGAAAUUCGUAGAUAGUCGGGAGGAACACCGGUGGCGAAGGCGGCGAUCUGGGUCGAUACUGACGCUGAGGUGCGAAAGCGUGGGGAGCAAACAGG
rnacentral:rRNA from 1 species